rnacentral:rRNA from 1 species
UCGAGAAUCUUCGGCAAUGGGCGCAAGCCUGACCGAGCGACGCCGCGUGCGGGAUGAAGGUCUUCGGAUUGUAAACCGCUGUCGGAGGGGAUGAAGUGCCCGGGGGUUCUCCCCCGGGUUUGACAGAGCCUCGGAGGAAGCACGGGCUAAGUUCGUGCCAGCAGCCGCGGUAAUACGAACUGUGCGAACGUUAUUCGGAAUCACUGGGCUUAAAGGGUGCGUAGGCGGUUCAUCAAGUCCGGUGUGAAAUCCCCCGGCUCAACCGGGGAAUGGCGCUGGAAACUAGUGGACUGGAGCGAGGCAGGGGUGUGUGGAACUUCCGGUGGAGCGGUGAAAUGUGUAGAUAUCGGAAGGAACGCCGGUGGCGAAAGCGGCACACUGGGCCUUGUCUGACGCUGAGGCACGAAAGCCAGGGGAGUGAACG